UGGUCAACCAGAUGUGCCUUUUGUCCCUUCUUGAUUUGCUUUGUUUUUGUUUUUCCACACUCAUUUGUUUUUAAAGAUCGUGAACAUUUAGUGAGCAUUUCCGCCAGGCUGUGGAAAGGGCUGGGUACAGCUUUGGACACACGCACCGCGCACCGCGGAGGGGCUCUCCUCCAGGACGAGCUCCGGGGAUGCGCGUGGCGCUGGAGGAACCCCACUUCGGGCUGCGUGGGGCGGUGAUGCGCACAGACCCAGGGCACCGAAUGGCCCUGAGGAGGCUCUUCUGGAACGCACUUUCUCCCUGGAAACCUGCUGAUGUCAGCCACGAGUGCCCCUGGAGCCUGAGUAUGGCAUCCGAUCGUGCAGCGUGCGCGGUGCCCCGGACACGGGCAGGCCCACGCAGGAGGAGGAGAUGUGGCAGAGGGGACGACAGAGGGACCCCAGCCGUGGGAAGGAGUCAGUGCCCCAUCACUGGCUCUGAAAUGCAGGGUCCACGUGCAAGGACUGAAGACAGACUUCUAGGAGCUAAGCGGGUGGACGCCAACUGCUGCCUGAUCGCCAGCAAGCAGAUGGGGACUUCAGUCUUGAGCCACAAGGACCUGUGCUCUGCCAACACCCUGCUUGAGCUUGGGAGCAGAUUCUUCCUGGUGCCUCCCAGUGACAGCCGACCACUGACACUUUGAUUUCAGCCUUCUGAACCCCAAAGCAGAGAACCCAACCCAGACCUCUGACCCCCAGAACUGCGAGCCAAUAAAUACCUAUUGUUUAAAGCUGCUAAA